rnacentral:rRNA from 1 species
UACGAAGGGGGCUAGCGUUGCUCGGAAUCACUGGGCGUAAAGGGUGCGUAGGCGGGUCUUUAAGUCAGAGGUGAAAUCCUGGAGCUCAACUCCAGAACUGCCUUUGAUACUGAAGAUCUUGAGUUCGGGAGAGGGAUGCGGAAUUCCAGGUGUAGCGGUGAAAUGCGUAGAUAUCUGGAGGAACACCGGUGGCGAAGGCGGCAUCCUGGACCGACACUGACGCUGAGGAGCGAAAGCCAGGGGAGCAAACGGG